UACCUCUGUAAAUAUAGUUUAACAAAAAACAUUAGUCUGUGGACCUAAAAAUAGAAGUUUUAACCUUCUUAUUAACC
rnacentral:tRNA from 1 species